rnacentral:misc_RNA from 1 species
GAAAUGCGAUUAGUAAUGUGAAUUGCAGAAUUCAGUGAAUCAUCGAAUCUUUGAACGCACAUUGCGCCCAUUAGUAUUCUAAUGGGCAUGCCUGUUCGAGCGUCAUUUCAACCCUCAAGCCUUAGUUGCUUGGUGUUGGGAGCUUAUCCUGCCGCAAGGCGGGACAACUCCUUAAAUUUAUUGGCGGAGUCGCGGUGACCCCAAGCGCAGUAAUUCCUUUUCUCGCUUUAGGUGUUAACGCUGGCUUCUAGCCAUUAAACCCCCUAAUUUUCUAAUGGUUGACCUCGGAUCAGGUAGGACUACCCGCUGAACUUAAGC